rnacentral:rRNA from 1 species
AACGAACGCUGGCGGCAUGCCUAACACAUGCAAGUCGAACGAGACCUUCGGGUCUAGUGGCGCACGGGUGCGUAACGCGUGGGAACCUGCCCUUAGGUUCGGAAUAACUCCCCGAAAGGGGUGCUAAUACCGGAUAAUGUCUUCGGACCAAAGAUUUAUCGCCUUUGGAUGGGCCCGCGUUGGAUUAGCUAGUUGGUAGGGUAAAAGCCUACCAAGGCGACGAUCCAUAGCUGGUCUGAGAGGAUGAUCAGCCACACUGGGACUGAGACACGGCCCAGACUCCUACGGGAGGAAGCAGGGGGGAAUAUUGACAAUGGGCGAAAGCCUGAUCCAGCAAUGCCGCGUGAGUGAUGAAGGCCUUAGGGUUGUAAAGCUCUUUUACCCGGGAUGAUAAUGACAGUACCGGGAGAAUAAGCUCCGGCUAACUCCGUG